UACGGAGGGUGCAAGCGUUAUCCGGAUUCAUUGGGUUUAAAGGGUGCGUAGGCGGGCAGGUAAGUCAGUGGUGAAAUCUCCGAGCUUAACUCGGAAACUGCCAUUGAUACUAUUUGUCUUGAAUAUUGUGGAGGUAAGCGGAAUAUGUCAUGUAGCGGUGAAAUGCUUAGAUAUGACAUAGAACACCAAUUGCGAAGGCAGCUUACUACACAAUGAUUGACGCUGAGGCACGAAAGCGUGGGGAUCAAACAGG
rnacentral:rRNA from 1 species